CGCAUGUCAGGUGGUAAUCCAUUAGUAUAAACAUGGUAUGGCCACUUGACAGUCGGC
rnacentral:pre_miRNA from 1 species